AACGAACGCUGGCGGCAUGCCUAACACAUGCAAGUCGAACGAUGCCUUCGGGCAUAGUGGCGCACGGGUGCGUAACGCGUGGGAAUCUGCCUUUCGGUUCGGAAUAACUCAGGGAAACUUGAGCUAAUACCGGAUAACGUCGCAAGACCAAAGAUUUAUCACCGAAAGAUGAGCCCGCGUAGGAUUAGCUAGGUGGUGAGGUAAAGGCUCACCAAGGCGACGAUCCUUAGCUGGUCUGAGAGGAUGAUCAGCCACACUGGGACUGAGACACGGCCCAGACUCCUACGGGAGGCAGCAGUGGGGAAUAUUGGACAAUGGGCGAAAGCCUGAUCCAGCAAUGCCGCGUGAAUGAUGAAGGCCGUAGGGUUGUAAAGCUCUUUUAGCCGGGAAGAUAAUGACGGUACCGGGAGAAUAAGCCCCGGCUAACUACGUG
rnacentral:rRNA from 1 species